CGUCGCAAAAUUUCGUUCUAAAG
rnacentral:miRNA from 10 species